rnacentral:rRNA from 1 species
GAGGAGCUUGCUCCUCUGACGUUAGCGGCGGACGGGUGAGUAACACGUGGAUAACCUACCUAUAAGACUGGGAUAACUUCGGGAAACCGGAGCUAAUACCGGAUAAUAUAUUGAACCGCAUGGUUCAAUAGUGAAAGACGGUUUUGCUGUCACUUAUAGAUGGAUCCGCGCCGCAUUAGCUAGUUGGUAAGGUAACGGCUUACCAAGGCAACGAUGCGUAGCCGACCUGAGAGGGUGAUCGGCCACACUGGAACUGAGACACGGUCCAGACUCCUACGGGAGGCAGCAGUAGGGAAUCUUCCGCAAUGGGCGAAAGCCUGACGGAGCAACGCCGCGUGAGUGAUGAAGGUCUUCGGAUCGUAAAACUCUGUUAUUAGGGAAGAACAAAUGUGUAAGUAACUAUGCACGUCUUGACGGUACCUAAUCAGAAAGCCACGGCUAACUACGUGCCAGCAGCCGCGGUAAUACGUAGGUGGCAAGCGUU